rnacentral:rRNA from 1 species
CCUACGGGGGGCUGCAGUGAGGAAUAUUGGUCAAUGGACGAGAGUCUGAACCAGCCAAGUAGCGUGAAGGAUGACUGCCCUCUGGGUUGUAAACUUCUUUUAUAAAGGAAUAAAACGAGGCACGUGUGCCUUUUUGCAUGUACUUUAUGAUUAAGGAUCGGCUAACUCCGUGCCAGCAGCCGCGGUAAUACGGAGGAUCCGAGCGUUAUCCGGAUUUAUUGGGUUUAAGGGGUGCGUAGGCGGGCUGUUAAGUCAGCGGUAAUAGCCCGGGGCUCAACCCCGGGGAGCCGUUGAAACUGGCUGACUUGAGAUGGCGAGAGGUAUGCGGAAUGCGCAGUGUAGCGGUGAAAUGCGUAGAUAUUGCGCAGAACUCCGAUUGCGAAGGCAGCAUACCGGCGGCGAUCUGACGCUGAGGCACGAAAGCGUGGGUAUCGAACAGGAUUAGAUACCCGUGUAGUC